ACAGCAUGAUGUGGACACUUCUGUAGAAGGUUCUUCAUCCUUUCCCUAGUUUCAUGAAAAGGUUCUCCUUCUAUUUGUGAAAAACCAGUUAUGGCUUUUUGUAUUU